AUGCUCGCUUUGGCAGCACAUAUGCUAAAAUUGGAAAGACACAGAAAAUUAUCAUGGCCCUGUGCAAGGAUGACAUACAAAUUUGUGAAGCGUUUCAUAUUUUU